CCUUGGAUAGCUCAGCUGGCAGAGCAGAGGAUUAUAAUGUGUGUGUGUGUGUGUGUGUGUUUGGCAAGUGAUCCUUAGGUUGCUGGUUCAACUCUUACUCAAAGGA
rnacentral:tRNA from 1 species